UUAGAGGAAGUAAAAGUCGUAACAAGGUUUCCGUAGGUGAACCUGCGGAAGGAUCAUUAAUGAAACUUCAAAGUCGGCCAAAGGUUGUUGCUGGUGAUUAUUCACAUGUGCACGCCUUUGGUCGCAAAUCCACACACACCUGUGCAUCUAUGACUCGAGGUUGUAAUGACUGAGAGUAACUUUUAUACACUCUUGUAUGUAAUGGAAUGUCUUUUUGUGCUAUAAUGUACAAUAUAAACAACUUUCAACAACGGAUCUCUUGGCUCUCGCAUCGAUGAAGAACGCAGCGAAAUGCGAUAAGUAAUGUGAAUUGCAGAAUUCAGUGAAUCAUCGAAUCUUUGAACGCACCUUGCACCCUUUGGUAUUCCGAAGGGUACGCCCGUUUGAGUGUCAUUGUAAUCUCACUUCUACAACUUUAUUGUUGUUUGAAUGUGGACUUGGAUGUUGCCGUUUUAUCACGGCUCGUCUUAAAUGCCUGAGUGUACCCUGUUUUGCAGCGUAUCCAGUGUAAUAAACAUUUCACUAGAGUUGGUCGAAAGACCRCGUUGACUAUAUGGGCUCUAUGCUUCAAACCGUCUGCCAUGUGGACAAUUUCUUGACAAUUUGACCUCAAAUCGGGUGGGACUACCCGCUGAACUUAAGCAUAUCAAUAAGCGGAGGAAAAGAAACUAACAAGGAUUCCCCUAGUAACGGCGAGUGAAGAGGGAAAAGCUCAAAUUUUAAAUCUGGUGUCUUUGACUCCCGAGUUGUAAUCUAGAGAAGUGUUUUCCGUGUCGGACCGUGUACAAGUUCCCUGGAACGGGGCGUCAUAGAGGGUGAGAAUCCCGUAUAUGCCACGGACUACCGAUGCUCUGUGAUACACUCUCAACGAGUCGAGUUGUUUGGGAAUGCAGCUCAAAAUGGGUGGUAAAUUCCAUCUAAAGCUAAAUAUUGGCGAGAGACCGAUAGCGAACAAGUACCGUGAGGGAAAGAUGAAAAGCACUUUGGAAAGAGAGUGAAACAGUACGUGAAAUUGUUGAAAGGGAAGCGUUUGAAGUCAGUCGCAUCUGUUGGGGUUCAGCCUGGCUUUUGCCUGGUGUAUUUCCUUUCCGAUGGGUCAGCAUCAGUUUCGACCGAGGGAAAAAGACAUUUGGAAUGUGGCUGUCUUCGGGCAGUGUUAUAGCCUUGUGUUGUAUGUCUCGGUUGGGACUGAGGAUUGCAGCGCGCCAUAAAUGGCCGGGGGUCGCUCCUCUCGACACGCGCUUAGGAUGCUGGCAUAAUGGCUUUAAGCGACCCGUCUUG
rnacentral:rRNA from 1 species